rnacentral:rRNA from 1 species
UACGUAGGGGGCGAGCGUUGUCCGGAAUCAUUGGGCGUAAAGCGCGUGUAGGCGGUCCGGUAAGUCCGCUGUGAAAGUCGGGGGCUCAACCCUCGGAUGCCGGUGGAUACUGUCGGGCUUGAGUACGGAAGAGGCGAGUGGAAUUCCUGGUGUAGCGGUGAAAUGCGUAGAUAUCCGGAGGAACACCGGUGGCGAAGGCGGCUUCCUGGACCGACACUGACGCUGAGGCGCGAAAGCUAGGGGAGCAAACGGG